rnacentral:lncRNA from 1 species
ACGCAGUGGAACUUCUGUCAAAGGCUAUGUGUACUGUAGCCAUGGGCUCGAGGGCCAGUGAUUCCCAAGGCUGUUGACGUCCAGGUGAUUCUAUCAUGAGCCACAGAUGCCGGAAGUGAACCUGCAGGAUUCGGUUCCUGGGAUCAAACUCAGCAGCUAAGUGCCUUUACCUGCCGAGCCUUUUCUCUCUCUCCAGAGGAGCAAGUGGAGCGCCGACACUGCGUUUUCGAACAGCUAGAACACAGACACAGUGAACAGGUUCAUCAAGGAGGAAAUGGUUCCUCUGGCCCAUUUCUGUCAUGAACUCUUCAGAUAUUUUAAAAAAGCAUAAAGGAACUGGUGGAAUGGCUCAGGACCCACCUGAUGGAAUGAGAGAGUCAGCUCCCACAAAUUGUUUUCUGCCCUUCAUACAUGUGCCAUGGCACCCCUAAAACACAUAAUGAGUAAGAACAUAAACGAAGAAGAAAGGAGGAAUGAAGAGGAUUCGAGGGGCAGCAAUGUGGCUCAGUUCAAGCCUGAGUUCUAGCUCCAGACCCCUCCCAAAGGCAGGAGAAAGCCAGUGUACAUGGUUAACUCUGUCUUCGGAUUUAUACCCCUCACACACAAUAAAAAAAUAUAUGAAUUUGUAAAU